rnacentral:rRNA from 1 species
UACGUAGGUGGCAAGCGUUGUCCGGAUUUAUUGGGUUUAAAGGGUGCGUAGGCGGUCUAUUAAGUCAGUGCUGAAAUAUCCCGGCUUAACCGGGAGGGUGGCAUUGAUACUGAUGGACUUGAGUAGAGUCGAGGUAGGCGGAAUUGACGGUGUAGCGGUGAAAUGCUUAGAUAUCGUCAAGAACACCGAUAGUGUAGACAGCUUACUAGGCUCAAACUGACGCUGAGGCACGAAAGUGUGGGGGAUCAAAACAGG